ACAUGCGGCACAGUAAAGAUUACCAUAAGUACUACAACAUUAGGAUCCACACAUCCAAUUUCAUCAGGAGUUGAGGCAAAUGCCUUACCAUGCCUAAUAAGUAUUUCUUGAAAUAUAACUUUCUUCGUUGAUGUCAAGAAAUCAUCCCCUCCAAUCUUCAAUUUAAUUAAUGAUUCUUGAAUAAAUUGAUGCCCAAUUCAACGUCCUUCUCUUAGACUUGGCUCCUUAAUUACUUGGUUGAUAUGAUCCAUAGUAUCAAUUGGUAAUUGAGUAGCUAUAGGCUUUACCUUUCUUGCUACAGCUUUAUAAUUAGUUUGUACUCUAGCUUCAUAUUUCAAUC
rnacentral:lncRNA from 1 species